rnacentral:rRNA from 2 species
UGGGGAAUAUUGGGCAAUGGGGGAAACCCUGACCCAGCGACGCCGCGUGAGGGAAGAAGGUUUUCGGAUUGUAAACCUCUGUCCUCAGUGAAGAAAAUGACGGUAACUGAGGAGGAAGCCACGGCUAACUACGUGCCAGCAGCCGCGGUAAUACGUAGGUGGCAAGCGUUGUCCGGAAUUACUGGGUGUAAAGGGAGCGUAGGCGGGAAUGUAAGUUGAAUGUUAAAACUAUGGGCUCAACCCAUAGGUGCGUUCAAAACUACAUUUCUUGAGUGAAGUAGAGGCAGGCGGAAUUCCUAGUGUAGCGGUGGAAUGCGUAAAUAUUAGGAGGAACACCAGUGGCGAAGGCGGCCUGCUGGGCUUUAACUGACGCUGAGGCUCGAAAGCGUGGGUAGCAAACAGG